UAUGUGAUUUGAACACCUUUAUUUUCAUGUUCAAUUGCACAUCCGAGUCUCCAUCUUUCAUAACCAUUACUGUAUAGAUACUACAAGUAUGACAAUAUUACAGACUGGCGUAUGUGCGUGUGUGUGUGCGUGUAGUUUGUGUUGUGAAGCUGUUAUGUCAACACAUGCAGUUAGCACUGGCGUCAUGCAGCCUUUGGUCAGUAGUAACGUACAUCAUAACCUUCAAAAGGUAUUUCUGUUUUCGCGCUAAGUUUCACCUCAGGCACCAGUCUCAGUCACUCGUGCAAGGGGUAGAGAUGAACGUCGCGCUCCAGUACAGAGAGUUCUCGAUUGGGCCUCACUGUGAAGUCCUACAUUUUCGCAUAGUUCGUUGUCUGAAAAUACAAUACUCGGAAUAAAUUCCAAGCAAACUGAUUGACCUCAUGUAUGUCUGACCUAUUUAGUGAAAGACAACAAAACAAAAGCGGAGUAUGAUUUGCAUGGAGUUGACCACAAACAUGCCAGUUGCUGUUUUAAGAGUAACAUAACAGCAACACCCUGCCUAAAUACAGUCAUUAAAACAAUCCCUUUCUUUUCCAUCAAAACACCUAUAACUCGGUAAAGACAUAAGCAUCAAAGUAAUGCUACGUUCGUAAUAAAAAGACAAAUGCAAAUGAAUGCAGUGUUGGCUGAACGCAGCGUAUUUGGCGACAGGGCGUCAUCGUUAACAGGUAUAAAACAAUGGACCCCAUACGCUUUCCCUGUCUGACCAAUCACAUUGAGAAAAGGGUUAGGCUACGUCUUGGCUGUGCGCUUCUCCCAACUUCGGCUGACCUGGGAAAUCUACAUCUGUGAGAAUCAGAACAGUCUAGUUUCGUUCCUGUAAGUUUGGCUUUACAUUACACAAUUAAGAAACUCUUUGGCCAACCUGUUGUUCAGGCAUCUCUAAAUGGUCAAUUACAUAUAAAGACUGUUGGGAAGGUGUAUGUGUUGACUUCAAGAGCGCUCCUCAUUUCAACAAUGGGUGUUCGCCUUGUCAGGUUAUUAACAAGACUCAUGAUGCCGUUAAUGCAUCCUAAACUAACAGACAGAGAAAGCGCAGGGGACGGUAACUUCAGCAACAGAUUGCAUGGCAACAAGGUCUGACAAUCGCCGACUCCGAGAGCUUUUAUGAAAGAAAAAAAAUAAACACUCCGACGAUGUUCUGAACGGCUCCAAGUUAGAGUUUCUUCUCAUUUUUGGCUGUUUUAAAUAUUGUUAACUAUAUACACAGACCAGAUACUGUUCAUACACUAUACACAUACAUUAAAUAUGUAUAUAUUUAUAUUUAUAAUAUAUACACGUGUACUGUUACUGGUGAAAAGUGGUGUUGUGGUUGAAACAGAUUAUGAAGUAACAAUAUUUCAGUAACAUUCUAAAUCAGGUGAAAACUGACAGAACAAUCUUGAUCAUAAGCAUAUGUGAACGGUAGUGAAAACAAUAAUAAUAAAAAAAAAAAUCAGCUCUACAACUGGUGUGGAAAAAAACAAAACAUGAAAUAAAUGUAACAGGAAGAAGUGCUUUCUUUUUCCAUACACUAACAUACCUCAGGGAGUAACACAAUUUUCUUCAGCCAAAAAUAAAGAAAGGCUCUACUGCCAAACAUUGGCCAGCAUCUCUGCAAACUGUAAACAAAGCAAGCUUCA
ensembl:lncRNA